rnacentral:tRNA from 1 species
CAUUAGAUGGCUGAAAAAGUGCUGGUCUCUUAAACCGUCUUAUAGUAAUUAAAAUUUACUUCUAAUGA